CACUCAAUGCACAUAAGUGACGUGAGGUUAAUCCAGUCAAUCGCGCCAUAGCAAUGUUUUUUGUUUUAUGUUGGCAGGGUUUACACACACACUAUCUGAAUUUGCAGAGCUAGCGUGCAAACAUUAACUAUUAAACUAGCUAGUACCUAUUCCAUUCAUGUGGCGUCGUCAAAGAUGGAAUCAUUGCUGUCGUCAGUUUAUUCCAGGAUCAGCAUGCAGCUGUAGUGCUUCAAAGUCACUGUGAUAAGCCAAAUGACAGAAGACCAACGGAGACAUCAAAGCUGCCAAUCUACUAUAAUUGACCAGUUUUUCAAUUAUAUGAAUGAAGGAAAAUUAUCAUUUCAAUAAAGCUUUGCUUGUCUUGUGAAAUAGCUGUGUAUCCAGACAUGUGUCCCACUUCCAUACCACAUCCUCUAGAUGACAGCGUCUAUGUAAUGUGAAGAAACAACCACUCAUUGCUGGUAGUAAGUUUAUUGACAAAAUUCCCACUUCACACACAGCUAUGCAUUAACAUACACACACACCUCAUAGUUAGGGCCCUGUCUUUUGGUUAAUCACAUCACAUGACCUGAAUUUUAACCAUUUAUAUUUUAUUUAACUAGACAAGUCAGUUAAGAACAAAUACUUAUUUGCAAUGAUGGCCUACCAAAAGGCCUCCUGCAGGGGCUAGGAUUAUUUUUUUAAAUAUAAUAUAGGACAACACACAUCCUGACGAGAGACAACACUACAUAGAGACCUAAGACGACAACAACAUAGCACGGCAGCAACACAUGACAACUGUCCCCUUAUUUUUUAUUUUUUUAUCUCAGAUGGUCCAGCACCAUCCUCUGACAAUUGCUUUCAUUUUUUGGUCUACUUCUCAUUUAUGGAAAAGGUUUAAAAUAAAAGGUUACAGUUCCAGGUCAUAUGAGAUGAUUAAUCAAAACGCAGGUCCCUACUCACAGGGAAGGAAAAUACAGUCAGCUGAAUAUAUCACAUGACCUACGGCAAACAUUAUUGGUGUGUCUGAGCUGUUAGGGGA